rnacentral:rRNA from 1 species
UACGUAGGUGACCAGCGUUGUCCGGAUUUACUGGGCGUAAAGAGCGCGCAGGCGGUCGUUCAAGUCGAGUGUGAAAGCCCCCGGCUCAACUGGGGAGGGUCACUCGAUACUGAUCGACUUGAAGGCAGGAGAGGGAAGCGGAAUUCCCGGUGUAGUGGUGAAAUGCGUAGAUAUCGGGAGGAACACCAGUGGCGAAGGCAGCUUCCUGGCCUGUUCUUGACGCUGAGGCGCGAAAGCUAGGGGAGCAAACGGG